GACCUCGGAUCAAGUAGGGAUACCCGCUGAACUUAA
rnacentral:rRNA from 2 species